UACGUAGGGUGCAAGCGUUGUCCGGAAUUAUUGGGCGUAAAGAGCUCGUAGGCGGUUCGUCGCGUCGGCUGUGAAAUCCCGAGGCUCAACCUCGGGUCUGCAGUCGAUACGGGCGGACUGGAGUUCGGCAGGGGAGACUGGAAUUCCUGGUGUAGCGGUGAAAUGCGCAGAUAUCAGGAGGAACACCGGUGGCGAAGGCGGCUUCUGGGUCUUACCUGACGCUGAGGAACGAAAGCCAGGGGAGCGAACGGG
rnacentral:rRNA from 1 species